GCACUGUCCCUGAACCUCUGUGUGUCUGGCUGUGACCUCGGGGAUCUAGUGGCAGUGCCAGAGAAGACCCAGCUUGUCGAGGUCUGGGGCUGCUCAGAAGCCACCUAAGUGAUCCCUUUAGCAGCAAGCGACAUUU